rnacentral:lncRNA from 1 species
AGAGUCUUGUUUGGAGUUGUGUGGGGUUGAAUAAUUAUAUUUGUAAUAUUUCAGAAGUUAGUAGAAAAAGAAAAGAAAAAUAGAAAAGAAAAAAAUGAAUGAAAAAAAUAAAAGGAUGUCAAUCAAUACACACUCCUUCUGAAAAAGAAAAAAAAAAGAGAAAGGAGAAGAGAAAACAAUUGUUAGAGUUGUUCAAGUAAAUGAAAUAUUUUGUAAAUUCAACUCCCGCAGUUUCUUUCAAGUCUAUUUUAUCUCUUUGAAU